rnacentral:rRNA from 1 species
GACGAACGCUGGCGGCGUGCCUAAUACAUGCAAGUCGAACGCAGUGGGGACGGGUGAGUAACACGUGGGUAACCUCCCACUAGAGGGGGGAACACUUGGAAACAGGGGCUAAACCGGUACUGAUGGAUGGACCCGCGGUGCAUUAGCAAGUCGGUGAGGUAACGGCUCACCAAGGCCACGAUGCAUAGCCGACCUGAGAGGGUGAUCGGCCACACUGGAACUGAGAAACGGCCCAGACUCCUACGGGAGGCAGCAGUGGGGAAUCUUCGGCAAUGGACGAAAGUCUGACCGAGCAACGCCGCGUGAGUGAAGAAGGUUUUCGGAUCGUAAAACUCUGUUGUUAGAGAAGCGGUAUCUAACCAGAAAGCCACGGCUAACUACGUGCCAGCAGCCGCGGUAAUUC